GCCUGGCCCUCCCCCGCGGCUCCCGGCCCUCCCCCGCCGCGCCGACACCACGCAGCCCCAGCCCGGUGCCACGCUCGGAACUCCCAGCCAAACAGAGGCGGACGGCAGGGAAAGAAAGCUGAGGACCUAGUGUCGGAAAGGAGGUCCCAAGGGCUGCUUCAACUCCGGGAAUGAAGGCCAUUCUCAGCAAUUAGACGGUCGACCUUCCAGAAAAUGUCGACAGGACUCCGCAGGGACGCGCUGUUAUUAUGAAGGGCCCCAGAGGAGCCUGCAGAGAGACUUGGAUCACAUCGGUGUAGAAGUCCAUCUCCUUGAGAAGAAAAAGAAGA